CCGAACUCAUGCGCAGACUUGGGUCGGCGGAGUUUUGUCAGAAAGAUUGAGGCGAUUGCGCACUUUCUGGGAGGGGGACUUGUGGGCCUAGGUGUAUUCUUCUGAGGCGUAGAGGCGGUUCCUCUGAAAGAUGCGAGUUUAUUGACUACACCUGGUGAUUACAGCUGUGCCUGCUCACCUAAACCUGCACCUCACAUGCAGCGAGCCAGAAAUGACCUCUUCCUCCCGGCAGACCUACUCCUCUCCUCUGUUGUCACUACCGUGACCUAGUCACUAAAACCUGGACAUUAUCUUUCCUGCCCCUCUUACCAAGUCGCAGCAAUUGUAACUUUCCUUUUUUUUUUAAACUCCAGCCCUCCUCUUUCAUCCCAAGUGUCACAGCUUCUGUUCGGGCCUUCGCCAUUUCCAGCGUGAAUAAUUCCUACCUGCCGUGUGUGUGUGUGUGUGUGUGUGUGUGUGUGUGUGUGUGUGUGUGUGUGUGUGUGUGUGUGUGUGUGUGUGUGUGUGUGUGUGUGUGU